UACAGAGGGGGCAAGCGUUAUUCGGAAUUAUUGGGCGUAAAGGGCGCGUAGGCGGCUUUGCAAGUGACGGGUGAAAGCCCUCGGCUUAACCGAGGAACUGCCUGUCAGACUGUGAGGCUUGAGACCGGGAGAGGUGAGUGGAAUUCCCAGUGUAGCGGUGAAAUGCGUAGAUAUUGGGAAGAACACCUGAGGCGAAGGCGGGUUGCUGGGCUGAUACUGACGCUGAGGCGCGAAAGCCAGGGGAGCAAACGGG
rnacentral:rRNA from 1 species